rnacentral:rRNA from 1 species
UACGAAGGGGGCGAGCGUUGUUCGGAUUUACUGGGCGUAAAGGGCGCGUAGGCGGCGGGCCAAGUCGAGUGUGAAAGCCCCGGGCUCAACCUGGGGAGGGUCACGCGAUACUGGUCGACUCGAAGGCAGGAGAGGGUAGUGGAAUUCCCGGUGUAGUGGUGAAAUGCGUAGAUAUCGGGAGGAACACCAGUGGCGAAGGCGACUACCUGGCCUGUUCUUGACGCUGAGGCGCGAAAGCUAGGGGAGCAAACGGG